AAAGUCGUAACAAGGUCUCCGUUGGUGAACCAGCGGAGGGAUCAUUACAGAGUUGAAAGACUCCCAAACCACUGUGAACAUACCCGUGAGCGUUGCCUCGGCGGGCGGCCCCAGGGCGGGGCCGCAACCUCCCCAAGCUAGCGGGGAGGUGCCCGCCGCAGGCCCAUACAAACUAUCUUGAAACUUAGUGGCCUCUCUGAGUCGGUUACCAAUAAUUAAAACUUUCAACAACGGAUCUCUUGGCUCUG
rnacentral:misc_RNA from 1 species